AUCGAGGAGCCAUUUUUUGCCGUGAGCUUUCUAACGAGUAAGAAAAACUUGUCUUUAGAGAGAGACUGAAGAGUAGAGCAGACAGUACAGAGGUGAGGAGAGGAGAGGCUGUGUGACUCUGGAGAAAUGAACGGGGAAAACCUCCUUGAACCUCACUCUAGUUUUCCAAGUCUUGUGAAGCCAGACUGGGCUUUUGGCUCUGUGCAAUUCCUCUGUAUCUUCUCAAUAAACCCUUUGUAUUCGUGUUUACUCAAUGGGGAUUCUAUUCCAUUCGCUAAAAUAAGCCUGAAAUUAAACCUGUUGUUUCAUUGCAUCUGCUUCAUUCAUAUCUCUUAUAUUCGUUGCAGUUUUUUUUUCCAGACACCAUUCUCCUAUGGCCUUUUCCUAUGGUUUCUCUCUCCUUUCCUUGGACAAAGUAGUUCCAGUUGCAGUUUUGACAUAAUAGAGGGACAGAAGGCCUUCCAGUCUAUUCUGGAGGCAUCUGGCACUGCUAGCUCACCUGGGGCCAGGCAGGGCUGCGGCCAGCCCAUGAUGUGCCUUUGUGUGUACUUUUAAAAGGUACCCCUUCCUCUAGGUGGACUAAGGCCCACACAGAGCAUAGGGCUUUCAGGCAGAGCACAGGCUGAAUUCAGCCACUCUUCUUCCUUGACUGGGCACCCUUGACAGGUAUAAUCUUCACAAUCUUAUGUGGUGGCCGAGUCAUGGACCCAUACAUAUCCUCCAGGCAGUUGAGAAAGAAAAAAAAAUCCACAAAUUAGAGAAAGUGACCCCAGCAGAGUCAAUGUAGUCGCAAAUGUCAGGCUAACAGGAAACAGCAAAAGCAAUAUACGUCCUCCUUCUUCUCUAAGUGCUGUGGCUGGUGGCCUUAAAAAUAUAGAUUUUCCUUCUUUUCCAAUAAACAAAAAUUAAGGCCAGGUGCAGUGGCUCACACCUGUAAUCCCAGCACUUUGGGAGAUCAAGGUGGGUGGAUCACAAGGUCAGGAGUUCGAGACCAGCCUGGCCAAAAUGGUGAAACCCCGUCUCUACUAAAAUACAAAAAUUAGCUGGACAUGGUGGUGUGCGCCUAUAAUCCCAGCUACUCAGGAGGCUGAGGCAGGAGAAUUGCUUGAACCCAGGAGGUGGAGGUUGCAGUGAGCUGAGAUCACGCCACUGCACUCCAGCCUGGGUGACAGAGUGAGACUCUGUCUCAAAAAAAAAAAAAAAAAAAGAAAAAGUAAAAUACAAAAAGGAAGAAGAAAAGAAUUACCUGCAGCUCCAUCACCUAGGAACAAUUUAAAUACAGCUGUUAUAUGUAACUCUUUAUUGCCUAUCAAAAAAAGCUGCAAAUUCCUUAGUGUGGGAGAGAUACUCAUUAUAAUCUGAUCCCCAUUCUGCUCUCCCACAUCAGUCUCUCUCCAGUCACUCUCUCUUUGUAGACUCUUCAGUGCUGUUUUGUUUCAAAGCGAGCCUUUCAUUUUUCAGCUCCUUUUUCUCACUCAAGUUUACAUUUUAUGCCUGUGUACAUUUUUGCUGUCUGCCUGUUUAUAUUCAGAAGUUUUAUAACACCUGUUGUAGUUUUAGGAGAUUGUAAUUAAUAAUUUCCUGUUUCCUCAUUUGAGUUAAAAAUCAAUGUCAGAUAUAUGUAGAGAUCAGGCAUACAGAAAGCGGAAUAUUACCUGAAUUGGAAGAGAUCUCGAACUUCAGGCCGUGUAUGCUAGGCAGGACUCGCUCUCCAGGUCUAGGGGAAGUCCACUCCAGAAGGAGUUGAGCUAUAGUGUUGAUACAUUUAUGCAGAAUCACUGCUUUACAUCCACUGAGAAAGAGAGGGGAAUCUUCUUACUGUUUGCAGGCUUUAAAAAAAAAUGAGCAUCACGUGUUAGUCUACCUUGCAUUGCUAUAAAGGAAUGCCUGAGGCUGGGUAAUUUAUAAAGAAAAGAGGUUUAUUUGGCUCAUAGUUCUGUGUAAGAAGCAUGAUAACAGCAUCUGCUUCGGGAGGGCCUCAGGAAGCUUCCAUUCAUAGUGGAAGACAAAGGGGAAGUGGACAUAUCACAUGGCAGGAGAGAGGUAGUAAGAGAGGGAGGAGGAGGUCCCAGUCUCCUUUAAAUAACCUAGCUCUCGUGUGAACUGCCAGAAUGAGAGCUCACUCAUUACCAUUGGGAUGGCACCAAGCCAUUGAUGAAAGAUUUGCCCCCGUGACCCAAACACCUCUCACUAGGCUCAUCUGCAACAUUGGAGGUCACAUUUGAACAUGAGAUUUGGAGGAGACACACACCCAAAUUAUAUCACAUCAGUAGGUGGCAAUGAGGUCUGACUCAAGGACAUGUGUAAACAAAGCUGGGACUUUCCUCAAUAUUUGUGGAGAGAAAAGCUAGAAUGUGGGGGCAUCUUGCUAAUUUUUCAGGUAGAAUCUCAGAGUCGUUGUAAUUAGGGUGUUAAAGGAAAUGUGGUAAGCAGAAGAGAGAUGGUCUAUGAGAGAAACUUACUAUUAUAUAAACAUUCAUACUUAAACAUAUGUUAAAAUUAUGACAAGAUAUAAAACAUAAACCAGCACUAUAUAAACAGAUUGUUCAUAAAAACAACUCUAGGAAUGUGUUUGAUUCUUUUACUGUAUAUUUUUGAGGCAUUUUUGUUUUGAUAUAUUACAAAUAAAUUAUAGAGAAUAAUAUAAAUGACUCCCAUAUACUUAUUACACAGCUUGAUUGAAGCUCCUGUGUGAAAUUUUGAAAAUAUAGUUUAAAUAUAAAAUGCAGCUUCAAAAAAAUUCCCAAACACAUCAACAAUUCAUGUUCCUCCAAAUACACUUUGGGGAUCGUGAGCAUUGGGUUAUGUGGCCAGCAGCCUCUGCGAGGACUCCCAGUGAUGCCUGCUGCCUGGCAUUUACACCUUUGCAUAACCUCCCCACCUUCAGUGUGGGCUGAGGCUUUUGAAAGUGAAGUCUUAUUGGAACACAGCUACACCCAUUUGUUUACAUGUUGCCCACUGCUACAAUGGCAAAGUUGAGUUGUUUCAACAGAGACAUACAUGGCCAGCAGAGCCUAAUAUAUUUACUCUCUGGCCCUUUGCAGAAAAGGUUUUGCUGACCUUUCUAACUCAUUAUUCCUAAUGGCUAGCCAUGGCUUCCCAGGAGCUCAUUAAGCUAUUAAAACGCCAGUGAAUCUGUAUAUUCUACAAGCUUAACUGCCGUGUGAAUGAAUAUGGCUCAAAUAUAAAUUUUCAAAUAUACGUUGUCAAAAACAAAAUACAAAUUAAUUUCAAAGCAUUAGAGGAUUUAUGGUAGCUUUUACUCUUUAUGUAUUUUUUUCAGCUAGGGGAUAAAACAAAAUAACAAUUUAUAUAAUUUAUAUCACAUGGAGUCCUGUGAAAUGUUUUUGCAUUAUGUGCUUCACUUUUUUUUCUUUUAAUGAUUGUAAACGAUUGAUCUAGUUAGACUCUAUGGGCCAAGAUUACCUUAAUGAAACAUAGAUAUCUUAGUCAAUUUAAAUAUUUGAGAUUAGUUAUACCAUGUAUGUGGUCAUUGAUUCCCAGGGCCAAAUUCUAUUUUACACUAAAUAUGAUGGGUGAAAAAUAAUAGCUUGAGACCAUUAAGAUGCAACACUAAUAAUAAUAAUUUCCUGAACACUUAGCUUGUGCCAGACACUGUCCUAAGUGUUUUUCAUGAAUUUACUCCUUUAAUCAUCGUAACAUCAUGUGGAGUUAUCAGGACAUAAAGCCACAUGUUAGAUUCAGGUUUAGAAACUUAUUAAUGUUUUAAUUUUACAAUUUAAAAUAUUAUAGGCCGGGCACAGUGGCCCACACCUGUAAUCCCAGCACUUUGGGAGGCUGAGGUGGGCAGAUCACUUGAGCCCAGGAGUUCCAGACCAGCCUGGGCAACAUGAUGAGACCCUGUCUCUACAAAAAAUAAAAAAUUAGCCAGGUGUGGUGUUGUGCACCUGUAGUCCUAGCUACUCAGGAGGCUGAGGCAGGAGGAUCCCUUGAGCCUGGGAAGUCAAGGCUGCAGUGAGCAGUAAUACUGUCAUUGCACUCCAGCCUGGGUGACAGAGUGAGACCGUGUCUCUAAAAAAUAAUAAUUUUGUUUAAAAAUUAAAAACAAUUUGUCUUAUUAGCUUAUAUAAAAGGGACCACAUUAAUCUUAGUCGUUAUCUCAAAAAAAAACAAAAUUGUUCUCUCUUGUGAUGGCUUUUUGGAGAAAAAAGAAAGAAGAGAAAAAGAAAAAAUCACACCUUAACUGGCAUACAUUUUAUUAAUAUGAUUUAGCAAAGUUCGACAACAGAAGAGUCCUCAUUUUUUUUAUAGUGAAAAGAAGGAAAUCACACAAGAGGAAAACUGCCAUGACUUAUACAGAGGAGUUACAGAGUUAAAUUUAUUCAUAACAUAUUAGGUUUGUUUGGUGGUGGUUGUUGUUGUUUUUGAGACAGGGUCUCACUCUGUCACCCAUGCUGGAGUGCAAUGGCGCAAUCUCAGCUCACUGCAGCCUCGACUUCUCAGCUCACACAAUCUUCCCACUUCAGCCUCCCAAGUAGCUGGGACCACAGGUGCACACCACCAUACCUGGCUAAUUUUCGUAUUUUUUGUAUAGAUAGGGUUCUGCCAUGUAGCCCAGGCUGGUCUGGAACUCCCAGGCUCAGAUGAUCUACCUACCUCAGCCUCUCAAAGGGCUUAGAUUACAGGCAUGAGCCACCAUGCCUGGCCAGUUUUGUCUUUACUUAAUCAAGUUUUAGUACCAUUUCCAUUACAUCACCUACUCAAAAUAAGAUAUUUACAUCAACUGUUUAUCAAUAAAGUAUCUGUAGUUUCUACGUCACUCUUUUGCCUUCAAGUUUCCUUAGCUGAUUCCUUUUUAACCAAGAAUGGACAAAAAACAAACAAACAAAAAACCCCAGAAAUAUAAUUUUUUAGCUCCUCUUUUUUUUUUCUGUAAGAAAAGGAAGGUGUGUUUUAAAAUUCCAUGAUAGUUACUGAUAUUUUCUUAAUUUUUCCAGAAGUGAGAAGCUGAGGCAAGAGGAGGCCAAGUAACUUGUAUGAAGUUGUAUGAUCACCAAGAAGCAGAAAUCAGAGUAGGCUCUUGACCUAUGCUGCCUCUUAUCAUGUACAGGAAGAUUUUAUUCUGAACCCUUAAGGAUAUAGCUAAGAGAUUUUUUAAUGUUACCAUCGAGACUUCAAUGUCAGGUUUGGGGAGGAAAUCAAGAAGAGAUAUUUCAUAAUAAAUGGUACGACUGAAAUAAAAUUGCAGUUGCAUCCUGCAGUAAAAUUAGAGUAUACGAAUUAUUUUCCAUUCUGGUUUUGGCUGCUUAUCCUUUAGUCAUUCUUUCCAGGGCCAUUCUGUGUAGGUUAGGCUUCCUCAGCGAAAGCAGAGGGUCGUGGUGGGGAAAACAUAGGCUCUAUAUUCAGAUAGACUUGGGGGUAGGUGGGAGUCCUGGAUCCACACUUAAUACUUCUGUAUCAUUUACAAGUGAUUCAUUUGGCAUCUGUUUCUUUCAUUUGUAAUGUGAAGAGAUACCUAUUUCUGAAAGUUGUUUGAAAUUUAAAUGGGAUUGUGGUCCUGACUGUUAAUAAAUACGUAUUUCCCUUCGUUUAGUGCUGUGCUUCAAAGUUACCUAUGCUUAUUAAGUACACUCAUGCUUGUGUGUACGUUAUGUUGUACGAGUCUGUCAUAAGGAGUAUUUUUUCUUUCUCGACUAAAGGAGUCUUUUGAGAACUACUUGCUUAGGGCAUAGAACUUGAGGGCUGGAAGUAUCAGCUUGAAUCAUAUGAAAUAGCUGAUUUUUGACGAUUUUUGAACCAAACAAAUCCCAUUUUCAUCUGGGCCAAUAUUAUACCUUAGGAAAACACAAAAGAGGGUAGCUAUAUGGUCAAAUGUCGUACUACUAGCUAAUUAUAAAACUGCACAUAAAACUUGGUGGUCUUGGUUAAUGGCUAAUAUAUAUAUAUAGAUUUUAUUUAAGACUGGUCUUAUUGCCAAUCAAGUACCAAUAAGGUGUUGCAUUGAAUAUUUGCAAACCUGCUUAGUGCUUGGCUCCUCUGCUGGGUGUCAGCUAUAAAAAGGUGAAGAAGAGUUUGGAGCUGUUUGUGAGCCACAGAUAUGAGCACAGCCACAAUAUUCCAAGGCCCAGAUGUCAGCUCUAUUGGAUGUUCUAAGUGCUGUAGGUGCAACCAGGAAGGAGUGAUUAGUUUCCCUAGGAACAAAUGGGAAGGACUGGUUCAUUCUAUUAAUACUUUACAUGUGAUGAGUCUUGCUCUAGCUAAGCCCUCUUAUCAUGUAUCUCAUUCAGCAAAUACUCGUGGAGCACCAUCUGUAUGACAAACAUUGUGGAAUGUUGGUAGUAGGAUAAUAAAAAUGAACAUUUAUAGAAUACUUAGACUAUGCCAGGUACCAUUCUAUGGACUUCACAGAUAUUAAUUAAUUGAAUUUCCACAAUAACCCUAAGAAAGUAAUAUCAUAUUGUCAUCAUAUCAUUUUUAUACAUGAGAAACUGUUAAGUAACAUGGCCAAAAUUAUAUAGCUGGUAAGUAGGGAAGGCAGCAUGUAAGCCAGGAAGGCUGCCUCUAUAGCAUGUGCUCAUAACUGUGCUAUGUGACCUAUUUACUUAAAAAGGUGAAUAAUGUCAUUCUCAAAGUAUAUAGAGCUAAGGAGAGAGGUAUGAUGAAAGGGAGAUAAUAAUCAUUAUGAUGAAUCUUUUCAUUAAAAAGUUGAAGUGAAGACACCUCUCUUUUCAUAAAACAUUAAAGUAACUUCUCAAAAACCUGACCUGGAGUGUGGACCUUUCAAGAGACAGCCUGGGGAGUCAGAGAGCCAGGUCCUUGUCCUUCCAGGGAACUUUAAAGCAUGAAGAUGCUUAAACUCAUCAAAAAGUUAAAUGUAGAGUUCCCACAUGACCCAGAAAUUAUUUUCCUAGGUAUGUAGCCAAGAGAAACAAAAAUAUGCAUUCACACAAAACUUACACAUAAAUGUUCAUAGUAGUAUUAUUCGUAAUCAUAAAAAAUUAGCAUGUGCCUAUCAAUAGAUAAAUGGAUAAACAAAAUUAGCAUCUACAUACAAUGAAAUAUCAUUUAGUCUUAAAAACGAAUGAGGGGGCUGGCAAGACGGCCAAAUAGGAACAGCUGCGAUCUGCAGCUCCAAGCGAGAUCAAUGCAGUUGGCAGGUGAUUUCUGCAUUUCCAACUGAGGUACCCAGCUCAUCUCACUGAGACUGGUUAGACAGUGGGUGCAGCCCAUGGAGGGUAAGCAGAAGCAGGGUGGGCCAUCACCUCACCUGGGAAGUGCAAGGGGUCCAGGAACUCCCUCCCCUAGCCAAGGGAAGCCAUAAGGGACUAUGCCACGUGGAACAGUGCAUUCAGGCGCAGAUACUACACUUUUUCCACUGUCUUCGCAACCUGCAGACCAGGAGAUUCCCUCAGGUGCCUGCCUACACCACAAGGGCCCUGGGUUCCAAGCACAAAACUGGGCGGCCCUUUGGGCACACACCAAGGUAGCUGCAGGAGUUUUUUUCAUACCCCAGUGGGGCCUGGAACACCAGCGAGACCGAACCAUUCACUUCCCUGGAAAAAGGGCUGAAGCCAGGGAGCCAAGUGGUCUAGCUCAGUGGACCCCACCCCCAUGGAGCCCAGCAAGCUAAGACCCACUGGCUUGAAAUUCUCACUGCCAGCACAGCAGUCUACAGUUGACCUGGGAUGCUCCAGCUUGGUGGAGGAAGGGGUGUCUGCCAUUACUGAGGCUUGAGUAGGUGAUUUUCCUCUCACAGUGUAAACAAAACUGCUGGGAAGUUCAAACUGGGUGGAGCCCACUGCAGCUCAGCAAAGCUGCUGUAGUCAGAAUACCUCUCUAGAUUCCUCCUUUCUGGGCAGGGCUCCUGAAAGAAAGGCAGCAGCCCCAGUCAAAGGCUUAUAGAUAAAACUCCCAUCUCCCUGGAACAGAGCACCUGGGGAAGGUGCAGCUGUGGGCGCAGCUUCAGCAGACUUAAACAUUCCUGCCUGCUGGCUCUGAAGAGAACAGCGUAUCCCCCAGCAAAGUGCUCAAACUCUGCUGAGGGACAGAAUGCCUCCUCAAGUAGGUCUCCGACCCCCAUGCCUCCCAACUGGGAGACAUCUCCCUGCAGGAGUCGACAGACACCUCAUACAAGAGAGCUCCAGCUGACAUCUGGCGGGUGCCCCUCUGGGAUGAAGCUUCCAGAGGAAGGAACAGGCAGCAAUAUUUGCUGUUCUGCAGCCUCCACUGAUGAUACCCAGGCAAACUGUGUCUGGAGGGGACCUCCAGCAAACUCUAGCAGACCUGCAGCAGAGGGGCCCGACUAUUAGAAGGAAAACUAACAGAAAGGAAUAGCAUCAACAUCAACAAGAACUUGCACACAAAAACCCCAUCUGAAGGUCACUAGCAUCAAAGACCAACAGUAGAUAAAUCCAUGAAGAUGAGGAAAAACCAGGGUAAAAAGCUGAAUAUUCCAAAAACCAGAAUGCCUCUUCUUCUCUAAAGGAUCACAACUCCUUGCCAGCAAGGGAAGUAAACUGGAUGGAGAAUGAGUUUGACGAAUUGACAGAAGGAGACUUCAGAAGGUGGGUAAUAAGAAACUCCUCUGAGCUAAAGGGGCAUGUUCUAACCCAAUGCAAGGAAGCUAAGAACCUUGAAAAAAUGUUAGAAGAAUUGCUAACUAGAAUAACCAGUUUGGAGAAGAAUAUAAAUGACCUGAUGGAGCUGAAAAACACAGCAUGAGAACUUCGUGAAGCAUAAACAAGUAUGAAUAGCUGAAUCAAUCAAACAGAAGAAAGGUAUCAGAGAUUGAAGAUCAACUUAAUGAAAUAAAGCAUGAAGACAAAAUUAGAAAGAAAAAAAAUGAAAAGGAAUGAAUGAAGCAUCCAAGAAAUAUGGGACUAUGUGAAAAGACCAAACCUACAUUUGAUUGGUGUACCUGAAAGUGAUGGGGAGAAUGGAACCAAGUUGGAAAACACUCUUCAGGAUAUUAUCCAGGAGAACUUCCCCAACCUAGCAAGACAGGCCAACGUUCAAGUUCAGGAAAUACAGAGGAUACCACAAAGAUACUCCUUGAGAAGAGCAACCCCAAGACACAUAAUCCUCAGAUUCAUCAAGGUUGAAGUGAAGGAAAAAAUGUUAAGGGCAGCCAGAGAGAAAGGUUGGGUUACCCACAAAGGGAAGCCCAUCAGACUAACAGCAGAUCUCUCUGCAGAAACCCUACAAGCCAGAAGAGAGUGGGGGCCAAUAUUCGACAUUCUUAAAGAAAACAAUUUUCAACCCAGAACUGCAUAUCCAGCCAAACUAAGCUUCAUAAGUGAAGGAGAAAUGAAAUACUUUACAAACAAGCAAAUGCUGAGAGAUUUUAUCACCACAAGGCCUGCCUUACAAGAGCUCCUGAAGGAAACAGUAAACAUGGAAAGGAAAAACCGGUACCAGCCACUGCAAAAACAUACCAAAUUGUAAGGACCACUGACACUAUGAAGAAACUGCAUCAACUAAUGGGCAGUAUAACCAGCUAGCAUCAUAAUGACAGGAUCAAAUUCACACAUAACAGUGUUAACCUUAAAUGUAAAUGGACUAAAUGCCCCAAUUAAAAGACACAGACUGGAAAAUUGGAUAACGAGUCAAGACUCAUCAGUGUGCUGUAUUCAGGAGACCCAUCUCACAUGCAAGGACACACAUGGGCUGAAAAUAAAGGGAUGGAGGAAUAUUUACCAAGCAAAUGGAAGGGAAAAAGGCAGGGAUUGCCAUCCUAGUCUCUGAUAAAACAGACUUUAAACCAACAAAGAUCAAAAAAGAUAAAGAAGGGCAUUACAUAAUGGUAAAGGGAUCAAUGCAACAAGAAGAGCUAACUAUACUAAAUAUAUAUGCACCCAAUACAGGAGCACCCAGAUUCACAAAGCAAGUUCUCUACAAAACUCUCCACCCCAAAUCAACAGAAUAUACAUUCUUCUCAGUACCACAUUGCACUUAUGCUGAAAUUGACCACAUAAUUGGAAGUAAAAAAUGCCUCAGCAAGUACAAAAUCAUGGAAAUCGUAACAGUCUCUCAGACCACAGUGCAAUCAAAUUAGAACUCAGGAUUAAGAAACUCACUCAAAACCACACAAUUACAUGGAAACUGAACAAUCUGCUCCUGAAUGACUACUGGAUAAAUAACGAAAUUAAGGUGGAAAUAAAUAAGUUCUUUGAUACCAAUAAGAACAAAGACACAACGUACCAGAAUCUCUGGGACACAGGUAAAGCAGUGUUUUGAGGGAAAUUUAUAGCACCAAAAGCCCAUAGGAGAAAGUGAGAAAGAUCUAAAAUCGACACCCUAGCAUAACAAUUAAAAGAACAAAUUUUGUUCUUUUGCAAAGAGCAAACAAAUUCAAAAGCUAGCAGAAGACCAAAAAUAACUAAGAUCAGAGCAGCACUGAAGAAGAUAGAGACAUGAAAAAUCCUUAAAAAAUCAGUGAAUCCAGGAGCUGAUUUUUUGAAAAGAUUAACAAAAUAGACCACUAGCCAGACUAAUAAAGAAGAAAAGAGAGAAGAAUCAAAUAGACACAAUAAAAAUAAUAAAGGGGAUCUCACCACUGAUCCCACAGAAAUACAAACUACCAUCAGAGAAUACUAUAAACACCUUUAUGCAAAUAAACUAGAAAAUCUAGAGGAAAUGGAUAAAUUACUGGACAUAUACACCCUCUCCAGACUAAACCAUGAAGAAGUCAAAUCUCUGAAUAGACCAAUAACAAGUUAUGAAAUUGAGGCAGUAACUAAUAGCCUACCAACAAAAAAAGCCCAGGACCAGACAGAUUCACAGCCAAACUCUACCAGAGAUAAAAAGAGGAGCCAGUACCAUUCCUUCUGAAACUAUUCCAAACAAUAGAAAAAGAGGGACUCCUCCCUGAUUCAUUUUAUGAGGCCAGCAUGAUCCUGAUACCACAACCUGGCAGAGACACAACAAAAAAAGAGAAUUUCAGGCCAAUAUCCCUGAAGAACAUUGAUGUGAAAAUCCUCAAUUAAAUACUGGCAAACUGAAUCCAGCAGCACAUCAAAAAACUUACCCACCACGAUCAAGUUGGCUUCAUUACUAGGAUGCAAGGCUAGUUCAACAUACACAAAUCAAUAAAUAUAAUUCAACACAUAAACAGAACCAACAACAAAAACCACAUGAUUAUCUCAAUAGAUGCAGAAAAGGUCUUCGAUAAAAUUCAACACACCUUCAUGCUAAAAACUCUCAGUAAACUAGGUAUUGAUGGAAUGUAUCUCAAAAUAAUAAGAGCUAUUUAUGACAAACCCACAGCCAAUAUCAUACUGAAAGGGCAAAACCUGGAAGCAUUCCCUUUGAAAACCGGCACAAGACAAGGUUGUCUCACCACUCCUGUUGAACAUACUGUUGGAAGUUCUGGCCAGGGCAAUCAGGCAAGAGAAAGAAAUAAAGCGUAUUCAAAUAGGAAGAGAGGAAGUCAAACUGUCUCUGUUUGCAGAUUUGCAGAUAACAAGAUAGUAUAUUUAGAAAACCCGAUCGUCUCAGCCCCAAGUCUCCUUAAGCUGAUAAGCAACUUCAGCAAACUCAAGAUAUAAAAAUCAGUGUGCAAAAAUCACAAGCAUUCCUAUACACCAAUAACAGACAAACAGCCAAAUCAUGAGUGAACUCCAGUUCACAAUUGCUACAGAGAAUAAAAUAACAAGAAAUCCAACUUACAAGGGAUGUGAAGGACGUCUUCAAGGAGAACUACAAACCACUGCUCAAGGAAAUAAGAGAGGACACAAACAAAUGGAAAAACAUUCCAUGCUCAUGGAUAGGAAGAAUCAUUUUUGUGAAAAUGGUCAUACUGCCCAAAGUAAUUUGUAGAUUCAAUGCUAUCCUCAUCAAGCUAUCAUUGACUUUCUUCACAGAAUUGGAAAAAACUACUUUAAAGUUCAUAUUGCAACCAAAAAAGAGCCCAUAUAGCCGAGACAAUCCUAAGGAAAAAAAAACAAAGCUGGAGGCAUCAUGCUACCUGACUUCAAACUAUGCUAUAAGACUACAGAACCCAAACAGCAUGGUACUGGUACCAAAACAGAUAUAUAGACCAAUGGAACAGAAGUGAGGCCUUAGAAAUAAUGCCACUUAUCUACAACCAUCAGAUCUCUGACAAACCUGACAAAAACAAGAAAUGGGGAAAGGAUUCCCUAUUUAAUAAAUGGUGCUGGGAAAACUGGCUAGCCAUAUGCAGAAAACUGAAACUGGACCCCAUCCUUACACCUUAUACAAAAGUUAGCUGAAGAUGGAUUAAAGACUUAAAUGUAAGACCUAAAACCAUAAAGACCCUAGAAGAAAACCUAGGCAUUACCAUUCAGGCCAUAGGCAUGGGCAAAGACUUCAUGUCUAAAACACCAAAAGCAAUGGCAACAAAAGCCAAAAUUGACAAAUGAGAUUUAAUUAAACUAAAGAGCUUCUGCACAGCAAAAAAACUAUUAUCAGAAUGAAUAGGCAACCUACAGAAUGGGAGAAAAAUUUUGCAACCUAUCCAUCUGACAAAUGGCUAAUAUCCAGAAUCUACAGGAACUUAAACAAAUUUACAAGAAAAAAAAAACCCUAUCCAAAAGUGGGUGAAAAAUACGAACAGACACUUCUCAAAAGAAGACAUUUAUGUGGCCAAAAAACAUACGAAAAAAUGCUCAUCAUCAGUGAUCAUUAGAGAAAUGCAAAUUAAAACCACAAUGAAAUACCAUCACACACCAGUUAGAGUGGUGACCAUUAAAAAGUCAGGAAACAACAGAUGCUGGAGAGGAUAUGGAGAAAUAGGAAUGCUUUUACAGUGUUGGUGGGAGUGUAAAUUAGUUCAACCAUUGUGGAAGACAGUGUGGCAAUUUCUCAAGGAUCUAGAAACAGAAAUACCAUUUGACCCAGCAAUCCCAUUACUGGGCAUAUACCCAAAGGAGUGUAAAUCAUUCUAGUAUAAAGACACAUGUACACGUGUGUUUAUUGCAGCACUGUUCACAAUAGCAAAGACUUGGAACCAACCCAAAUACCCAUCAAUGAUGGACUGGAUAAAGAAAAUGUGGCACAUGUACACCAUGGAAUACUAUGCAGCCAUAAAAAAGGAUGAGUUCAUGUCCUUUGCAGGGAUAUGGAUGAAGCCAGAAACCAUCAUUCUCAGCAAACUAACACAGGAACAGAAAACCAAACACCGCAUGUUCUCACUUAUAAGUGGGAGUUGAGCAAUGAGAACACAUGGACACAGGGAGGGGAACAUCACACCCCGGGGCCUGUCUGGGGGUAGGGGGGUAGGGGAGGGAUAGCAUUAGGAGAAAUAUCUAAUGUAGAUGACAGGUUGAUGGGUGCAGCAAACCACCAUGGCACGUGUAUACCUAUGUAACAAACCUGCACAUUCUGCACAUGUAUCCCAGAACUUAAAGUAUAUUUUUAAAAAAAAGGAAUGAAAUACUGACAUAUGCUACAACAUGGUUGAAACUUCAAAAUAUUAUGUCAAGUGAAAGAAACCAAUCACAAAAGGUUACAUAUUGUAUUGUUCUAUCUAUAUGAAGUGUCCAGAAUAGACCAAUUCCAAGAUACAGAAAGUAGGUUAAAAUGUCCGGAAAUUGAGUCACUCUAAAGAGACAUAAAGGAGAUUGCCUGGGACUGUGGGUCAGGUGUGAGACUGGAGAAUGAGGAGUGACUCUUAAAGUGUAUUGGUUUCUUUUUUGGAGUGCUGAAAAUGUGUUAAAAUUUAAAAAAAGCAAUGACAGAAAUAAACACAGACACAUACACACACACACACACACACACGUACAUACACACACUACCAGAUGCCUGGGCCACACUGCAGAGCUGCAGAUUCCUAAUAUAUAGAGAUAUAUUUAAGAAUCAUUGCCAAGGAUGAGAACCAAGAUAACAUUUAAAAUUUUUAUUUAUAGAGUUUUGAUUGGAAGGUCCAUUUUUUUACACUAGCCUCACCUAAAAAUGAUUAAGUAUUCAUAUUUUUAUAUAAUAAAUAUAGCAACAGUAAGAAAUAAUUUUAAAAUAUUUGUAAGUAUUUUCAUAUAAAUUUAAAUCUCAUCCCACCCCAAGCCCUGUGAGGUUAGAAUGGUGGGAGACCUCCGUGGGGGAGGAGGGAGGCAUGUGACUCUGCUCUUCACCUCUGGAGACGUGGGCCCAGGUGCUAAGACCUCAGGUGCUGAGUGCCAAAUAAUUGUAUUUUCAGUUCAUGGCACAUUAUCAUUAUAUGUCCAUGCGAUAUCGGGAGGCCUCUCUUGUUUUGUCUAUUCCUGUUUAUUUACAAUGCUCCAUACAUAACCAUUCUCAAAUGUUUAACAUCUUUUUGUUUGUAUUCUUGCAUAAUGUGUACCAUUUUGUGUGCUAAAUUUCUAAUAUGUAGAAAUUUAUGUAAACGUUUCUAAGUUAUGUAUCUCAUCUUUUAUUUAUGCCUGGUUUGCUACUUUGGAAGGAAUGAGGAGCUAUCAGAGCCCUGCAAUGAACAUUCAUUUAUUACAUUUUUAAUGAAAUGGCUACUAUAUGCACCUCUGUAAUAAGGAGGAAGGCAGUAUGACAAUGUGGCAAAGAGCUCUGGCUCUGGGUUCUGAAUGCCAGGGUUCGAAUUCUCACUCCUCCAUUUACUAGCUUCUUGGGCUUGGACAGAUUACUUGGGCCUGUUUGCUUUUGAUUUAAUCACCUGUAAAGUGUGAAUACUUUCUCUUUUUUUUUCUUUUUUCCUGAGACGAAGUCUCACUCUGUCGCCAGGCUGGAGUGCAGUGGCGCGAUCUUGACUCACUGCAACCUCCACCUCCAGGUUCAAGCAAUUCUCCUGCCUCAGCCUCCUGAGUAGCUGGGACUACAGGCAUGCACCACCAUGCCCAGCUAAUUUUUGUAUUUUAAUAGAGAUGGGGUUUCACCAUGUUGGCCAGGCUGGUCUCAAACUCCUGACCUCAGGUGAUCUGCCCGCCUCGGCCUCUCAAAGUGCUGAGAUUACAGGCAUAAGCCACUGCACCCAGCCAAGUGUGAAUUCUUUAGCACACAUCUCAGAGGCGGUUAUAAGGAUUAAAUAUCCAGGGGGGAGAGGAUGAUAUUACUCCCAAUAUCGCAGGGGGUGUAAAUACCUUUUUCUAUCUGUCCUGAUCUCCUUGCUCAUAGGCUGUCACAUGGAAUCUUCUGGGGAGCUGUUCUUCAUAUUUUCCAGCCCCAAUACCCUUUUUACAAAAUUGGGUAGCUGUUAAUACAUUGAUACUUGGGCACAGAGUUGGCAUUCAAUAAGUAGCUGUUAAGUAAAUGAAUCAAAAGAAGUGCAAGAUACAAGAUACAUGGUCCCUUCUGUCAAAGAGUUUAUAAAUCAAGUAUGAAUGAUAAUACCUGAAACUACUUUAAAAAAUCUAUGUAAAGGGCCGGGUGCUAUGGCUCAUGCCUGUAAUCCCAGCAGUUUGGGAGGUAGAGGCAGGUGGAUCACCUGAGGUCAGGAGUUCAGGCAUGUUGAAACCCCAUCUCUACUAAAAAUACAAAAAGUAACUGGGUGUGGUGGUGCACUCCUGUAAUCCCAGCUACUCAGGAAGCUGAGGCAGGGGAAUCACUUGAACCCGGAAGGCAAAGUUUGCAGUGAGCUGAGCUCAUGCCACUGCACUCCAACCUGGACGGCAGAGUGAAGAAACUCUGUCACAAAAAAACAAAAAACAAAACAAAUCUAUGUAAACACCAUGAUAUGUGACAUGUCAGGGUAAGAGGAACAACUAAUAAAUUUUGUAGACAUUCAGUAAAUGGAGAGAAAGGUUUUUGGAGAUGAGGAGCUUGAGCUAGACCUUGUAUGUGUGCUAUUAGAAGCUUUCUGGGCUGGACACAUAUAAAAACUGCCCUUUGAUGCUAAUAGUAUUAAAAUUCUGUCUCCUCAGAAGCAGACUGCCUAUUGCUUUCGCUUUUAAAGAGAUUUAGAUCCAAGCAUUCCAUUAUGCAAGCCAUAGAAAGACCGUUUUAUGUGAAGAUGCACUUUGAUUGCACUUUCCUCUAUCUACAUUUUAUUGUAGUUAGUUGUUUAGAGCUCUCUCUGUGUAGAGUGUGGGAUCCUUGAGGUCCUUAAGGGAAGGGACCUUGCUUGCCCUCUUUAUCCCCUGCAUACUUUGCGUAAAGGAGGCACUCCACAAAUGUUUACUGAAUAAAUGCUACACUCCUAAUGGGUAAGAAUGUGUCAUAUUAUUCUUUGUUUUCUUAUGUGCACUGAAACGAAUUGUUUCUUGAGAUUGGUUCUUAGAAUAUUUAUUCAGUUUUCACUGAUUCUUUUGCUACAGGUUAGCUAACCAUGUAGCAGAUGCUUGAGUUUCACCUUUCUCCAGUCCAGCAGAAUUAUAUUUUGAUGACCUCCAUUUUGAUGCUUGUAGACCAGCUCUAAUCCAAAGAUUGAUCUUUAGGUAACAGAUGGAGAGUGAUAAGGAUAACUUCUGUGAAGACAAACCCAUGCACACAUCCUGUUGUCCGAAUAAUGUUUAAAUGAAUCCUUCUGCUCCCAAGCCAUCAACUUGCCCCUUAACACACAUCUUUCUAGAGCCCAAAUUUGAGCUCCUUGUAGAAGAUCUUUGCCCUCUUCACUCUCCAGGCCUUCCUAAUUAACGUCUUCUCAGAGUUUACCUUCUCUCUGUCUUAAUCAUUAGUUAAAAGAAAAAGUGGCUGGUGUAGCAUCUGGGGAUACAUUGCCACACCCAUUUCCUUCUCUAUGAUCAGGAUUUCCAAUUUCCAAGCCUGAUGGGCUCUCCCAGCUGGAACAGGAUCUACAGGUCUUUGAUCUGGAAACUAAGACUAGAGAAGUCUUAAGAGAUGACUUCUCAGGUGAGGAAGGCAGAAUCAAUCAGAUGGAAUUAGUAGGGAAGUAAAGUUCAAUUGUUGAGCCAAGUUGUAGCUGCUUUGGCACUCAGAAUGAAGAGUUCUGUGUGUGUCCCAGCAUGGAGAGUUAUUUUCUUUUUCCUUCAGUUAGGUUGACCCUUUCCAUUUGUUUAGGACCUGUGCACAUGUUGUACUGGACCGCUAAUCAAGUUGCUUAUCUAAAAUUCUUUCAAACUCUUUCCCUAUUAUCUCCUUAACUGGUGUCUUCUUACUUUGCUAAAGAUGUCCGCUGUUUUACCUCACUGCUCCUGUUCAUGCCCUUACUUCUGCUGUUGAGAUUUUGAGCCUGUUUUUCAGCAUAAAUAAACUUUUCUUGUCCUUGUAGAUAUUACAUUGUUCAGUUUUCUCAUCUGAGUUUUCUUUUCCUAAGCACAGGGUACAGAUUACAUUUGUAUCUUCUAUUUAUAUAUUGUAUCAGAUGGAGAGACCAGAGAACAAGCUGUUGAUUCCUAAGGAGAAAAUUUCAGAAGAAGUACAUUCAUGCAAAGUGAUAGUAGGAAGACUCAAACACAAUAUUACCUAAGUUCCUGAGACUAGAGAAGUGUAUAAGUCUGAGGACAGAUUAGAAAGGCUUCAGGAAAUUCUAAGGAAAUUCCUGUACCUGGAGAGUUUAGGCAAAUAACAAUCAGCAAAGAAGCCUUCACCAGUGAGAAGAACAAUGAAUGUAAUAAACCUGAAAAAAGCUUCAGUCUGGACUCUACUAUUGAUGCAGAUCAGAAAGUUCUUAGAAUACAGAACACUGAUGAUAAUGAUAAGAACGACAUGAGCUUCAGCCAGAAUUCAGCCUCUGGUAAACAUGAACACAUAAAUCUAACACAGGAUUUUCAGAGUAGUAUAUGUAAGGAAAGCUUAAUGGAUCUCUCCCUCCUUAAUAAAUGGGACAGCAUCCCUAACACUGAGGAAUCCUAUAAAUGUGAUGUAUGUGAGAAAGUUUUCCAUCAGAGCUCAGCCCUUACUAGACAUCAGAGAAUCCAUACUAGAGAGAAGCCCUACAAAUGUAAAGAAUGUGAAAAGCGUUUCAGUCAGAGCUCGAGUCUUAGUCGACAUAAAAGAAUACACACUAGAGAAAAACCUUACAAAUGUGAAGCAUCUGAUAAAUCCUGUAGUCCAAGCUCAGGCAUAAUUCAACACAAGAAAAUUCACACCAGAGCCAAAGCUUACACAUGUAGCAGUUGUGAAAGAAUCUUCAGUCAUAGUGUCCACCUUACUCAACAUCAGAAAAUUCACAAAGAGAUGCCCUGUAAGUGUACUAUAUCUGGCAGUGACUUCUGCCAUCCUUCAUAUCUGCUUGAACAUCAGAGGGUCCACCAUGAAGAGAAAUCCUAUGAAUAUGAUGAAUAUGGGUUGGCCUAUAUUAAACAAGGAAUUCAUUUCAGAGAAAAGCCCUAUACAUGUAAUGAAUGUAGAAAAGACUUCAGAUUGAAUUCACAUCUUAUUCAGCAUCAAAAAAUUCACACAGGAAUGAAACUGCAUGAGUGUAAUGAAUAUGGAAAAGCUUUCAGUCAAACCUCAUGCCUUAUUCACCAUCAAAUAAUGUAUAGGAAAGAGAAAUCAUAUAAAUGUAACGAGUAUGAGGGCAGUUUCAGUCAUAGCUCAGACCUUAUCCUGCAACAAGAUGUCCUCACCAGACAGAAAGUCUUUGAUUGUGAUGUACGGAAAAAGAACUCCAGUCAGAGAGCACACCUGGUUCAAUAUCGGAGCAUUCAUACCAAAGAGAACUCAUGAAUAUAACGAGGGUGAGAAGACAUUUAGUCUAGUCAAAUUCAGGCUUCAUUCAACAUCCGGGAGUUCACACCAGGGAGAAAUCAUGUACGUACUGCAUGUGGUAAAGCCUUCAGUCAUAGCUCAACCGUUACUCAGCAUCAGAUAAUUCAAUUUUCAUGCUAUUAAUAAUUUCAUACCUUAGUCACAUUUGGAGAAUUCGUAUGGGAAUAAAAUUCCAUUACUGCAAUGAAUGUGAAAAAGCCAUCAGUCAAAGAAACUACCUUGUUUAGUAUCAAAUUCAUGCCAUGCAAAAAGAUUAUGAAUGUAAUAAAUGUGUAUGUGCACGAGGAGAUUCAGUCACAACCCAACGCUCAUUCAACAUCAAAGAAUCUAUAUCUAAGAGAAGUUAUGUGAGUGUAGUGAAUGGCAAAUCUUUCAAUAGGAGUUUAACUAGUCUUUUUUAUAUCAGAAUAUCCAUAGUAGACAAGAAUUUGAUGUAAUGCAAAUGGAAAACUUGACAGCACAUGUCAGGCUUUACCCAACAUCAAAAUAGUGGAAAGAAAAUUGUUGAUUAUUUAUUUAUGAAAUUGUUAAUACAUAGUCUCAAACUUUAUCAUUGCACAAGAAUCUAGUGGUGACUUGGUAAAUGCAGUGCCAUUUUCUCAUGGCAUUCCUUUAUUUAAUAUGUGUUCUAAGUAGGUACAUUUAUUUUUACUUUUUUAUUAUAAUAAUUUUGAUAUUAAAAAGAACAGAGAUGGGGUCUCACUUUGUUGCCCAGGCUGGUCUCGAACUCCUGGCCUCAAGUGAUCUUCUCACCUUGUCCUCCCAAAGUGCUGGAGUUACAGGCAUCAGUCACUGUGCUAGGCCUAUUUUAUUUACAGAACUAAUUUAAGCUGUUUUUAUUUUAAUAUGCCCUAUAAACAUUUUUAUUUUUCUUGAAAUUGGUUCUUAGUGUUCACAACUUCCAUAAGAUACUGCGAAUGCACCAGUAUUAAAACACAUCAACAUAAGUAGCUCAUUUAGCUUUUUCUGCUGUUCUUGGCCCAAGUUCUCUCCAAAACCAACUCUUAGGCCUACUCUUUACUAGGGACCCUAUGUUAUUGCUUUACAGCCACAACACUUGGAUGCCUGUUUAUUGAUUUCUCCAUGCUCUUAAGCACCUUUAGAAGAUUUAGAAGAUUCCUAGUUUUAAGUGUCUCACCAGCAAGUAUUCCAUACCUAGUUGAUGUUGCUGGUCUGAUGUCUUAUUUCCUAAAGUGAGGCAUCUUUUUUAAAAAAGAAUUGGAUUUAAAAUAUAUCCAGUCCAAUACAAGUAUGAAUAUAAGUAAGUGUUCUCUCUUCUGAGUUUGUAGCAGGCAGCCAAACAUUUUCAAACGAUGCCCAAGAUUUUAGUUGCCUUGUGUGCAUCCACAGCCUGCAAAGAGAGAUGAUAAGGACAUCAGGGAGCCAACAAGACUCCUGGUAAGCUCACUACAUACAUCCAGUGCCUGUUCUGCAUGCCUAAGCUUAGAGUUCUUUUAUAGACCUCUAAGGCCAGCAAAAUGCUCAGGUCUGCUUUUGGUACGGUAAACACAAAGAACAUACACAGGCUGGGUGCGGUGGCUCACAUCUGUUAUCCCAGCACUUUGGGAGGUUGAGGCGGGUGGAUCACGAGGUCAGGAGGUGGAGACCAUUCUGGCCAACAUGGUGAAACCCUGUCUCUGUUAAAAAUAUAAAAAUUAGCCAGGCGUGGUGGCACGUGCCUGUAGUGUCAGCUACUCAGGAGGCUGAGGCAGGAGAAUCGCUUGAUCCUGGCAGGCGGAGGUUGCAGUGAGCCGAGAUCGCCACUGCACUCCAGCUGGCCAAGACUCCAUCUCAAAACAAAACAAAACAAAACAAAAAACAAAAACAUACAAAAAAAAAAUCAGCAUCAUAAGGGAAUGUAGCCUUUCAACAGAGAUGAUGCUGUUCUUAACGUUAAUCUCAGAGACAGUAUUUCAAGAGAGUGGCAGGUCUGUUCCUGGUAAAAUUUUAACCAUUAGGAUUGCAGAUAAAUAUUUGAAUUCUCCCCCACCCCCACACCAACCAGUCUUCCCUCAUCAAUCCAGGACAGUAUUUGAAGUGUGGGGGCUUUGUGUUAGUUGCUUAUCCAUUAUCACAUUUUCGUAUUUUAAUAGUCUGCAUGCCAUAUAAAAGAACAUGGCUUUUUGAUUGAUAAAAGGGAUUAUAGAUGUCGGCUCAAGUUCAGGGCCACCAUCAUAUACCUAACAAGAGCUCAUGCUUCUUUAGGUAAUGUCAAAGCAUUUUAUAUUUUUCCAUCUUAAGCUUUAUAACAUUUUGUGAAUAAGACAAGUGUUAUUUAAAAUUCUAGUUGUCAAGCCAGGCUUUCAUAGUUCAGAUGUUAUAAUAUUUGCUAGGGACCCUCAACAAAUAUAUAAAAAUAUAUUGCUCACUCUAUAAUCCUCCUUUACAAAAAGUAUCACAGAGGGAGUCCACCCACGAGGGGCAACAUCAUCAUCUCCUUUGGAUAUUACGAAUAAUGUCACAGAGGUGACAUAUUGUCACCU